UACGUAGGGUGCGGGCGUGUCCGGAAUUAUUGGGCGUAAAGAGCUCGUAGGCGGUUUGUCGCGUCUGCUGUGAAAACCUAAGGCUCAACCUUGGGCUUGCAGUGGGUACGGGCAGACUAGAGUGCGGUAGGGGUGACUGGAAUUCCUGGUGUAGCGGUGGAAUGCGCAGAUAUCAGGAGGAACACCGAGUGGCGAAGGCAGGUCACUGGGCCGCAACUGACGC
rnacentral:rRNA from 1 species